UGAAAAUGAAGCAAAAAGCGUGUCGGCAAGUUGGGUUAAUGGCUGGCCUUGACACGAAUUUAGCAGUCUUUAUGUUAAUUGAUCUGAAGAUUAACUAUUUAUAUUGUGUUUUUUGAUGAAAAAUUCUCUCGUUAAUAGUUCAUUUUGAGUGCUAUCAGAAAAUUAUAGCCAUGGAGUUGUAUUAAAAGAGUAGUUUUGUUUUCUAAAUCUGCUGAAGCUUAAUGUAUCUGCUCG
rnacentral:misc_RNA from 1 species